rnacentral:rRNA from 1 species
UUAUAAGACGAGAAGACCCCAUGGAGCUUUAAACCCAAUUAUAUCUCUAACCACUAUAACCAUUUAAUCACUUAGAACUUAUAUACUUGGUUUUAGGUUGGGGCGACCACGGAGCACAACCAAACCUCCACGAUGAACGGAACAACCCCCUUAUCUGAGAAUUACACUUCUAAGAAUUAGCACACUAACAUAAAAUGACCCAUUAUUGAUCAACGAACCAAGUUACCCUGGGGAUAACAGCGCAAUCCAUUUUAAGAGCCCCUAUCGACAAAU